GGGUUCUAAUGAUAAACUGUGAGGAACUGUGGCUUCUAUCAUGAAUGCUGGCAUCAACAGCCAUCCAGGGUGAUCUUACCAAUAUUGAUUGGUUGGUUGACAUCAUUUAGCUUUUACAAAGGGAUAUUUACUGAUAAGAUAGACAAGGACAAAUGUUACUAAAAUAUAUACCUCAUGCUAAGGAUGAACACUCCCAGUGUACACAAGUUCCCAGUGGAGAGUGGGCUCAAAUUCACAGAAGAAAGAGAGUGAGGGACGAAAAAGGAACUGCCAUCUCCCCUCCUCCAACAUCCCUAGCACACUAUACAAAGCAGCUCCUGAAAGCCCUGCUGAACUUUCUUUGGGCACCUCCCAGGCAGCCUGGCUGUGGCAGACCCCAUAAAACAGCCAGCCAUGGAGAGUGGGCGUCAUCGAUCUUGUCUGGUGAUAGCUGGAUGGUGCCAAGCACCAUGCUCUCCAUGAAUCUUGUGCUCAAUAAAUGUCAUUGAUUGAUGUAUGUGCUUCAUGCCUUGGGGAGGGAGAGGGAAGGAAAAGAAGGAGGAGAGAGUGGGAAUCUCUGCUUUUGGUAGACUUAGUCUUUCCUCUCUUCUGAGACAAUCCCUUAGCAAUACUACUUCUUUUGGCCUCAGUUUCCUUAUCAAUAAAAUGCAGGGGGUAGAUAAUCUCUGAUUCUUU
rnacentral:lncRNA from 1 species